UACAGAGGUCUCAAGCGUUGUUCGGAUUCAUCGGGCGUAAAGGGUGCGUAGGUGGCAUGGUAAGUCGGAUGUGAAAUCCCGGGGCUCAACCCCGGAACUGCAUUCGAUACUGCUGCGCUAGAGUACUGGAGAGGAGAUUGGAAUUUACGGUGUAGCAGUGAAAUGCGUAGAUAUCAAGUGGAACACCAGUGGCGAAGGCGAGUCCCUGGACAAGACCUGACACUGAGGCACGAAAGCCAGGGGAGCAAACAGG
rnacentral:rRNA from 1 species